CCUUCAAGAAAGAAUGUUCAAGCUUCAAAAGAGCCAAGCAUUCAGCCUCUUCCUCACAUCUCAAAAGAGUUCUUUUUGUUUUCCUAUUUUAUGCCUAAAUUUUUAUAUAUUAUUUUAUAAUUUCUUUAUAAGUUUCUUUGGAGGAAAAAAAUUUGAAGAUUAGAUCGGUCCAAGUCUGUAAUUAGAUACUGUAAAGAUUUUGAUUGGUUGAUCUGGGUUAAAACCAAUU
rnacentral:lncRNA from 1 species